CCUUGACUGAGGUUUCGGCCAAAUGAUAGGAAUGCUUAGUGGCGGACUGGUGAGUAACGCGUGAGGAACCUACCUUCCAGAGGGGGACAACAGUUGGAAACGACUGCUAAUACCGCAUGACGCAUGACCGGGGCAUCCCGGGCAUGUCAAAGAUUUUAUCGCUGGAAGAUGGCCUCGCGUCUGAUUAGCUAGAUGGUGGGGUAACGGCCCACCAUGGCGACGAUCAGUAGCCGGACUGAGAGGUUGACCGGCCACAUUGGGACUGAGAUACGGCCCAGACUCCUACGGGAGGCAGCAGUGGGGAAUAUUGGGCAAUGGACGCAAGUCUGACCCAGCAACGCCGCGUGAAGGAAGAAGGCUUUCGGGUUGUAAACUUCUUUUGUCAGGGAAGAGUAGAAGACGGUACCUGACGAAUAAGCCACGGCUAACUACGUGCCAGCAGCCGCGGUAAUACGUAGGUGGCAAGCGUUGUCCGGAUUUACUGGGUGUAAAGGGCGUGCAGCCGGGCCGGCAAGUCAGAUGUGAAAUCUGGAGGCUUAACCUCCAAACUGCAUUUGAAACUGUAGGUCUUGAGUACCGG
rnacentral:rRNA from 1 species